GGGUUUUUCUGCUCAUUAUUAGCUCCUUCUGAUGCCAUUCUAUUUCAGGAAGGAGUGUCCGUUAAACUCAGGCUACCUCAGUUUGUUAUCCUGUCGUGUGGCAGAAGGACAAAAGCCCCGUAGUUAAUUUUCAUUAACCCACGAGGCCUCUGCAUGUCUAGUCCACGUUAGUAUGGCCUCUUACCGUGCAAAUUGCAAGGAGGAGUAAACCAUG
rnacentral:antisense_RNA from 1 species